rnacentral:rRNA from 1 species
AGGCAACGAUCAGUAGGGGUUCUGAGAGGAAGGUCCCCCACAUUGGAACUGAGACACGGUCCAAACUCCUACGGGAGGCAGCAGUGAGGAAUAUUGGUCAAUGGACGAGAGUCUGAACCAGCCAAGUAGCGUGCAGGAAGACGGCCCUAUGGGUUGUAAACUGCUUUUAUAAGGGAAUAAAGUGAGAGUCGUGACUCUUUUUGCAUGUACCUUAUGAAUAAGGACCGGCUAAUUCCGUGCCAGCAGCCGCGGUAAUACGGAAGGUCCGGGCGUUAUCCGGAUUUAUUGGGUUUAAAGGGAGCGUAGGCCGGAGAUUAAGCGUGUUGUGAAAUGUAGACGCUCAACGUCUGCACUGCAGCGCGAACUGGUUUCCUUGAGUACGCACAAAGUGGGCGGAAUUCGUGGUGUAGCGGUGAAAUGCUUAGAUAUCACGAAGAACUCCGAUUGCGAAGGCAGCUCACUGGAGCGCAACUGACGCUGAAGCUCGAAAGUGCGGGUAUCGAACAGGAUUAGAUACCCUGGUAGUCCGCACGGUAAACGAUGGAUGCCCGCUGUUGGUCUGAAUAGGUCAGCGGCCAAGCGAAAGCAUUAAGCAUCCCACCUGGGGAGUACGCCGGCAACGGUGAAACUCAAAGGAAUUGACGGGGGCCCGCACAAGCGGAGGAACAUGUGGUUUAAUUCGAUGAUACGCGAGGAACCUUACCCGGGCUUGAAUUGCAGAGGAAGGAUUUGGAGACAAUGACGCCCUUCGGGGCCUCUGUGAAGGUGCUGCAUGGUUGUCGUCAGCUCGUGCCGUGAGGUGUCGGCUUAAGUGCCAUAACGAGCGCAACCCCUCUCCUUAGUUGCCAUCAGGUUAAGCUGGGCACUCUGGGGACACUGCCACCGUAAGGUGUGAGGAAGGUGGGGAUGACGUCAAAUCAGCACGGCCCUUACGUCCGGGGCUACACACGUGUUACAAUGGCAGGUACAGAGAGACGGUCCCUUGCAAAACGGAUCAAAUCCUUAAAGCCUGUCUCAGUUCGGACUGGGGUCUGCAACCCGACCCCACGAAGCUGGAUUCGCUAGUAAUCGCGCAUCAGCCAUGGCGCGGUGAAUACGUUCCCGGGCCUUGUACACACCGCCCGUCAAGCCAUGAAAGCCGGGGGCGCCUAAAGUCCGUGACCGUAAGGAGCGGCCUAGGGCGAAACUGGUAAUUGGGGCUAAGUCGUAACAAGGUA